rnacentral:rRNA from 1 species
GACGAACGCUGGCGGCGUGCUUAACACAUGCAAGUCGAACGGAAAGGCCCUGCUUUUGUGGGGUGCUCGAGUGGCGAACGGGUGAGUAACACGUGAGUAACCUGCCCUUGACUUUGGGAUAACUUCAGGAAACUGGGGCUAAUACCGGAUAGGAGCUCCUGCUGCAUGGUGGGGGUUGGAAAGUUUCGGCGGUUGGGGAUGGACUCGCGGCUUAUCAGCUUGUUGGUGGGGUAGUGGCUUACCAAGGCUUUGACGGGUAGCCGGCCCGAGAGGGUGACCGGGACAAAUGGGGACGGAGAGCGGCCCAAGCCUCCGACGGGAGCCAGAAGGGGGGAAUUUGCCAGAAGGGGGGGAGCCCGUAGCCAGACCCCCCGUGUGGGGAAUGACGCCUUGGGGUUUUAAACCCCCUCCCCCCGGGCACGAAGGGUGAGUGAGGAAAAGGGGAAAAAAGCCCCCGGCUAGCUCGGGC